GACGAACGCUGGCGGCGUGCCUAAUACAUGCAAGUAGAACGCUGAAGGAGGAGCUUGCUUCUCUGGAUGAGUUGCGAACGGGUGAGUAACGCGUAGGUAACCUGCCUGGUAGCGGGGGAUAACUAUUGGAAACGAUAGCUAAUACCGCAUAAGAGUAGAUGUUGCAUGACAUUUGCUUAAAAGGUGCAAUUGCAUCACUACCAGAUGGACCUGCGUUGUAUUAGCUAGUUGGUGGGGUAACGGCUCACCAAGGCGACGAUACAUAGCCGACCUGAGGGGGUGAUCGGCCACACUGGGACUGAGACACGGCCCAGACUCCUACGGGAGGCAGCAGUAGGGAAUCUUCGGCAAUGGACGGAAGUCUGACCGAGCAACGCCGCGUGAGUGAAGAAGGGUUUCGGAUCGUAAAGCUCUGUUGUAAGAGAAGAACGAGUGUGAGAGUGGAAAGUUCACACUGUGACGGUAUCUGACCAGAAAGGGACGGCUAACUACGUG
rnacentral:rRNA from 1 species